UACAAUAACGAUAUCGUCCUCCUCCAAUCCCUCUUUGUCAGCGACGAAUUGAUUUGCGCUACGGAGACGAACAAUACACCGCCGGCAACCUGCUGGAGAACGGAGAACAGCACUGAAGAGUUACCCAACGAUAAUCACAGAAUGGGUAAAAUCACAUCCGAGUUCGGGUUUUCAUGUGGGAUUGCUGAGGAAGUAACUCAAUGGUUGAAACCACAGAAAGACAAUUGGGGAACAUUUCAAUGGUGGACUCGAAGCUGGGGGAAACCAUGUCAAUGGGGUUAACUCAGAUGGUGAGUUAGUUUACAGAGGAGAAAACUCAGCAUAUCAACUUGAUGUUUAUACACUUAAAAUUACAAUAUAACUACCAUUUAUAAAUUAAACAUGUUUAGUGGAUGGUUUGUAAAGGGAAAAUGUGUUUAUAUUUAGGGGAACUCACCACCACGAGGCUAUUUGAUCAUCUCCUUCGAUUAGAUACAUCCAACGGUCAAUAUCCCACUUCAGCAGUACCCUCUCAAAAGCAAAAGUGCGGACAAUCGCCACUGUUGAAUGUUUGAUUGUUGAAGAAUAAGAAUCUGGAUAAGAUUGAUAGCACCUUUCUCAUGCCAAACCAUAAAAAUCUAUCCAACCCACCAUUUUUGGUUCUCUACAUAAAGAAAAGGUCAUGGCUACCAUAAUCAAUUCAAAGGAUUUUAUUCUUUUAUAUAGUGUAAUAUUCAAAAUUUAUAAAAACUCAAUUCAACCUCUCUCGUUAUCCGCAUGUGUCGCCAAAACCUCGUCCAGUUAUAUAUAGCAGAUACAAAGC
rnacentral:lncRNA from 1 species